rnacentral:rRNA from 1 species
CCUCAGUAACUGCGAGUGAAGCGGGAUCGGCUCAAUGUGUGAAUCUGGCUUGGGGUAGUUCCCUGGUCCGAGUUGUGCACUAUGGACGUUUCGUCUGCGUUUGUAAUGGCGGUGGAAGUCCGUUGAAACACGGCACCUCAGAGGGUCACAGUCCUGUACCACCUGCCUGCACUCGCGCCAAUGACAAGCGCUCCUCGAGUCGCGUAGUUUUGUAAUGCUGCGCCAAGUGGGAGGUAGAGACCUUCUAAGGCUAAAUAUGAUGACGUGACCGAUAGCACACAAGUACCGCGAGGGAAAGGUGAAAAGCAACCAUGAAAAAUGGGUUGAAACAGUAGUGAAAGCGCUACCGGGAUAAGGGCUAUCGGGUGCUGGGGCUUCUCGGGUGUGCUUCAGUGCUACCCUUGGAGACGGCCCGCGUGGGUUGAUUGGGGCGAUAGACGCGCUGUAGGAAUUCGGCUGCCUUCGGGCAGUGUUGUAGCCUGCGGUUGCUGAUCCUCCUGCGACCUUUUGUAAUUGCGG